rnacentral:misc_RNA from 1 species
GGCAAAUUCUUUACCAUCAUAAUCGCCUCCAAAAAGCCCUAAAAACAGAAAUCAACAACAAAAAAAACAAUAAUUACCGGUGUUCCCAUUUAAGGCUCUAAUUACAAGCUCCUCCCGCUGCCGCCGGCCUUCGCGUAGCCGUAGUAGGAGAGGUACCACUUCACGAACUUCUUCAGCCCAGCAUCCAGGUUCGUCGUCGGCUUAUACCCCAGCUCCGCCCUCGCAUGACUGAUGUUCGCGUGCGUGAACGGCACGUCUCCGUUCCCCGGCAUCUCGAUCAUGUUCUUCUUCGCCUUCUUCUUCAGGUUCCGCUCCAAGAUCGACACCAGCGUCGGUACCGUGACUGGAGAUGUAUUCCCGAGGUUGAAGAUCCGGUACGGCGCCGGGCCGCGCUUCUUGCCGCCGGUGCCAGUGCUGGGGCCGGCGGUGUCGAGGGAGGCGAGGCAGCCUUUGACGAUGUCGUCGAUGUAGGUGAAAUCCCUCGCCAGAUCCACCCCGUCCUUCUGGCGGUAGAGCGUGAUCGGCUUGUUUUGGAGGAUGUUGCGGGUGAAGGAGAAGUAGGCCAUGUCUGGCCGCCCCCAGGGGCCGUACACGGUGAAGAAUCGAAGCCCGGUGAUGGAGAGGCCGUAGAUGUGGUUGUACGUGUGCGUGAUCUCCUCGCCGGCUUUCUUUGUGGCGGCGUAGAGGGAGGCAGGGCGAUCGGUGCGAUCCGACUCCGAGAACGGGACCUUGUCGUUGAGCCCGUAGACGGAGGAUGACGACGCCCAGACGAUCGCCGGCUGCGGAUCGGCCGACUUGCAGGCUUCGAGGAGAGUUACGAGGCCGGCGACGUUGCUGUGGAUGUAGGAUCCGGGGUUCUCCAUCGCGUAGCGGACGCCUGCCUGCGCGGCGAGGUGGAUCACGUGCGUGAACGGGACGACGUCGAAGAGCUUGGCCAGAAGAGCGGCGUCGUUGACGUCGCCGGCGACAACGAAGAUGUUGCUCUUGAAGAGGAGGGCGGAUCGGGCCUUCUUGAGCGAGGGAUCGUAGUAGGAGUUGAAGUUGUCGAUGCCGACGACGCCGUCGCCGCGCUUGUGGAGGGCGAGGGCGACGUGGGAGCCGACGAAGCCGGCGGCGCCGGUGACGAGGACGGAGGCGCCCCCGUGGCGGCGGAUCUCGGCGGAGGUGCGGAUCUGCUUCUCCCAGUGGAGGCCGCCCCAGGAGGCGGUGAAGUAGCGGGAGGAGGUGUCGACGAAGGACUGGAAGCUGAGGUAGGAGGCGGUGAGGGCGACGAGGAAGAGGGCCCAGAGGAACAUCGUGGAGGUGGAGGCGAAGCAGCGGUUGAACUGGCGGUUGAU